rnacentral:rRNA from 1 species
GCCCGCCAGAGAACUACAAGCAACCGCUUGAAACUCAAAGGACUUGACGGUGUUCCACACCAACCUAGAGGAGCCUGUCCUAUAAUCGAUACUCCGCGCUAAACCUUACCCCCCCUUGCCACUUGCAGCCUAUAUACCGCCGUCGCCAGUCCGCCUGAUGACAGAAUACCCAAAGCCGACAAAAUAGUCCACACAAACACGUCAGGUCAAGGUGUAGUUAAUGCGGGGGUUAGAGAUGGGCUACAUUUCCUAUCACAGGAAACCACCACCAGCAAUAUGAAACAAUUGCCAAAAGGCGGAUUUAGUAGUAAGCACGGACAAGUCAUGCCAACCUGAA